GAACAGGUCUACUUUAGGUCAUUCUGUGGAGGUAGUAGCUAUCUAGUCAUGAUGGUUAAUUUUAUGUGUCAACCACUUCUGGGCCAUGGGAUGCACAACUAUUUGGUCAAACAUUGUGAGUGUGUCUGUGAGGGUAUUUUGGGAGAACAUUAACAUUUAAAUGCAUAAACCAAUUACAGUGGAGUACCCUCCUUAACAUGUGUGGGUCUCACCCAAUUAGUUGAAGGCCUGAUUAGAACAUGAAGGAUGAUUCUCCCACAAGUAAGAGGGAACUCCUCCUGCCUGCCCGCCUUGAGCUGACAAUUGUCUUUUUCUACCAUUGAACUAAAAUGGGAACAUUGAUUCUUCUUUGGUCUCGGGCCUGCUGGCUUUCAGACUGGAAAGACAUGAUCAACUCUCCUGGAUCUCCAGCUUGUCAACUGCAGAUCUUGAGAAUUCUCACCCUCCGUAACCAUAAUGUAUAGAUAAAGUGGAAGACUGCUCCUAGAGAGAAGCAAUUGUGCCUGGUAAUAUAUACACAUGCUACAAAGUAUAAAAGUCACGAGAA
rnacentral:lncRNA from 1 species